UUAGUUAAGAAAGUCAACUCAUUUACCCUUUUUAUUAUUCUGAAACUGCAUUAGUAAUAAUCAUUAGUUUAGAAAACCUUUAAAAUCAUCGGUGGCACUUAGAUUAAAUAAGUACUUGCAUUCUCAAUGCUUGAAAUCCCUUGGAAUUGGUUCGACAAUCAUUUAUACUACAACAUUUGUCUUAGGAACCUUGAAAACUCCUAAUAUCACAUCCUUAGGCAUUCACAACAUUCAAAGCUCACCUAUGAUAUCAAUAACACAACAACCUUAACCCACACUCACGAUAUCUUUACUUUUGUUUCUCAUUUGAAAAUUUAUUAAAUGGCUCAUGCGGAAGUAUGACACGCCCAAAACUAAAAACGGUUAAAAAAAUAGUAGUAAUAAUGUCUUCUUUCGUGUAUACUAAUUCUAUCAAAUGAAUCAAAUUUCAUAUGCAUGCCCGUAAUUCAUAUUGUCAACGUUCCUAGUGCAAUCAUUUAGAUGCCUUUUAUAAACUAUUGAACAAAUAUUUUUCUUAUUCUAAGAAUUGCGGACGGAACUUGCAACUACUAGAAUAUAGUUUUUAUUUUAUUCCAGCCUUUUAUUUUAUUUACAACUUGACUUUAGUUUGUUGAGAGAAUAUAAAACUAAAAAAUAUGGAUAUAUCCAGCAGCGAGAUAGUUUAGAUUUUAUUUUUUCAUUAUAUAUACAGCUUAUACGGUGCUUCAAUAAUUCAUUGAUUCCUGUACAUAGUUUUUGGAAGGGACUCUUCUUUGAAAGUAACUCAUCUCCAGUAAUUUGUUUUCGUGUGCUUUAUUUAUCCUUUAUUAGUUUUCUUUCAAGUGUUAAUUUUGAUCUUAUAUUUUUUCCCGAUGAAUCACACGGAAAACGAGGAUCAUAACACGAAGUAGCCCAAGCAUUGAAUGUCUCGAUCCUUCCAAAGUGAAUGGUGGUUCAUUGCGGUUCAACUUGUAGCUGAUCAUAUACUUGAAGAUGAAAGCGCAAGGCUAAUUACCGGAAGGAUUUGAAGAAGAUGCAGCUGAUCAUAUGCUUGAAGAUGAUAUCGUAACAACCGAAGAGCAAAUAUUUUACUUUUUAUUAGUUUAUGUAGCUUUCAAAUUAUUGCUGGUAUUUCUCUAAUGAUGCAUUAUUUUAACUUUU